rnacentral:rRNA from 1 species
UACGUAGGGUGCGAGCGUUGUCCGGAAUUAUUGGGCGUAAAGGGCUCGUAGGCGGUUUGUCGCGUCGGGCGUGAAAUCCACUGGCUUAACUGGUGGCUUGCUUUCGAUACGGGCAGACUAGAGGUAGGCAGGGGAGAGCGGAACUCCUGGUGUAGCGGUGGAAUGCGCAGAUAUCAGGAAGAACACCGGUGGCGAAGGCGGCUCUCUGGGCCUUACCUGACGCUGAGGAGCGAAAGCGUGGGGAGCGAACAGG